AACUGUACCCAAGGAGGGAGAAGGAGCCUCUACUCACUCAGGCAUAGAAAGUGAGGUCAUGAUUAAGUUCAAUGAAUAAGCACAGCACAGAAAAUCCAGAUGUCUGUCAGCCAUGGGAUGACAUCUUCUAUCCACGAGCUACAGAAACUGAGAGAAGAGUGUUUGCAAGUCCCUCUGGUUGCAGAAGCAAGGUUCAUUGAUGGAGAAAGGGAUCUGAAGAUGCAGGCACUUACUUCUGGGGAGGAGAUAAAGAAGGGAAGAGAGCUCCUGCGUUUACCCCUAAGGUCAACUACUUCUCUCUGCCUUACAUGAGUGACAAAGAGCCUAUUAACAUGAAGAUAAUGAGGAUGAAGACCUUUAUAAUGUUGCACUUACACUUGAUGAGU
rnacentral:lncRNA from 1 species